rnacentral:rRNA from 1 species
GACGAACGCUGGAGGCGUGCUUAACACAUGCAAGUCGAACGAUGAAAUGGAGCUUGCUCCAUGGUUUAGUGGCGAACGGGUGAGUAACACGUGAAUAACCUGCCCUUAAUUUUGGAAUAACCCAGGGAAACCUGGGCUAAUACCGGAUAAGUAAACCUGUGGCAUCACAUGGUUUUGGAAAGUUUUUCGAUUAAGGAUGGAUUCGCGGCCUAUCAGCUUGUUGGUGAGGUAAUGGCUCACCAAGGCGACGACGGGUAGCCGGCCUGAGAGGGGGAAGGGCCACACGGGGACGGAGAACCGGCCCAGACGCCUGCGGGAGGCAGCAAGGGGGAAUAUUGCGCAAGGAGCGAAAGUCUGACGCAGCGACGCCUCGUGGGGGACGAAGGUCUUCGGAUUGUAACCCUCUUUCAGCAGGGACGAAGCGAAAGUGACGGUACCUGCAGAAGAAGCACCGGCUAACUAUGUGCCAGCAGCCGCCGCGG